rnacentral:rRNA from 1 species
UACGGGGGGGGCAAGCGUUGUUCGGAAUUACUGGGCGUAAAGGGCGCGUAGGCGGCCUGCUAAGUCGGACGUGAAAUCCCUCGGCUCAACCGGGGAACUGCGUCCGAUACUGGCGAGGCUUGAAUCCGGGAGAGGGAUGUGGAAUUCCAGGUGUAGCGGUGAAAUGCGUGGAUAUCUGGAGGAACACCAGUGGCGAAGGCGGCAUCCUGGACCGGCAUUGACGCUGAGGCGCGAAAGCUAGGGUAGCAAACGGG